rnacentral:rRNA from 1 species
ACGGAAGGCAGCAGUGGGGAAUAUUGCACAAUGGGGGAAACCCUGAUGCAGCGACGCCGCGUGAGUGAUGAAGUAUUUCGGUAUGUAAAGCUCUAUCAGCAGGGAAGAUAAUGACGGUACCUGACUAAGAAGCACCGGCUAAAUACGUGCCAGCAGCCGCGGUAAUACGUAUGGUGCAAGCGUUAUCCGGAUUUACUGGGUGUAAAGGGAGCGUAGGCGGUACGGCAAGUCUGAAGUGAAAUCCCAGGGCUCAACCUUGGAACUGCUUUGGAAACUGUCGAACUAGAGUGUCGGAGAGGUAAGUGGAAUUUCUAGUGUAGCGGUGAAAUGCGUAGAUAUUAGGAGGAACACCAGUGGCGGAGGCGGCUUACUGGACGAUUACUGACGCUGAGGCUCGAAAGCGUGGGGAGCAAACAGGAUUAGAUACCCUGGUA